GACGAACGCUGGCGGCAUGCCUAACACAUGCAAGUCGAACGGGAACUUCGGGUCUAGUGGCGCACGGGGGCGUACGGAGGGGGAACCUGCCCUUAGGUUCGGUAUCACUCCCCGUAGGGGAUGCUAAUACAGGAUAAUGUCAUCGGACAAAGGAUUUAUCGCCUUGGGGUGGGCCCGCGUUGGUUUCGUGGGUUGGUAGGGUAAAAGCCUACCAAGGCGUGGAUGCAUAGCUGGUCUGAGAGGAGGCUUAGCCAGGCUGGGACUGCGACACGGCCCAGACUCCUACGGGAGGGAGCAGUGGGGAAUAGUGGACGAUGGGUGAAGGCCUGAUCCAGCAAUGCCGCGGGAGUGAUGAAGGCCUUAGGGUAGUAAAGCUCUUUUAGCCGGGAUGAUAAUGACAGUACCGGGAGAAUAAGCACCGGCUAACUCCGUG
rnacentral:rRNA from 1 species